rnacentral:rRNA from 1 species
CCUACGGGGGGCAGCAGUAGGGAAUAUUGCACAAUGGGGGAAACCCUGAUGCAGCAACGCCGCGUGAGCGAAGAAGGCCUUCGGGUCGUAAAGCUCUGUCCUAAGGGAAAAAACAUGACGGUACCUUAGGAGGAAGCCCCGGCUAACUACGUGCCAGCAGCCGCGGUAAUACGUAGGGGGCGAGCGUUAUCCGAUAUCACUGGGCGUAAAGGGUGCGUAUGCGGCGGAUUAAGACAGGGGUAAAAGGCUACGCCGCAACCGGAGUAAGCCCUUGCAACUGUUUGGGUUGGGUGCAGGAGAGGAGGUGGGAAUUCCUAGUGUAGCGGAUAAAUGCGUAGGUUUUAGGGGGAACUCCAGUGGCGAAGGCGAUUCUCUGGAAUGUAACUGACGCUGAGGCACGAAAACGUGGGGAGCAAACAGGAUUGGAUACCCUUGUAGUC